AACAUACUUCCUCCGUCCGAAAAUACUUGUCAUCAAAACGGACAAAAAGGGAUGUAUCUAGAUACAUCCCCUUUUAUUUAUUUUGAUGACAAGUAUUUCCGGACGGAGGGAGUACUAC
rnacentral:pre_miRNA from 1 species